ensembl:piRNA 21ur-3573 ncRNA
UAUAACGGUUAACUUAGAGCC